rnacentral:tRNA from 1 species
GGCUUGUGGCUCAGUGGUAGAGCACUUGCCUAGCACAUGGGAGGUGCUGGGUUCAAUCCUCAGCACCA